UUUAUCAGUAAUCCAAUAUCUCACUUUCAAGCAGGUUUAACACUAAGAGGUUGAUUAGCAUGAUUCUUCCAACACAAUCUUCGUAGUAGAUUGAGGAAAGUCCACCACCAUGGUUAGCUGCCGGAUUGCAAGGCGGGUGGCUGUCCUAGUUUUAAUCGUAUCAUAUUCUUCGUUGGAUAUUGCGGCAACAACCACAACUGACAUGCCUACAAGUGGUACUAACACUUCUCCAUCAACAAUGGAGGCUACUGUCGACACAACAGAAACAAUGUCUCCUAUCCCAACGUCUGGCAUGGAGUCUUCAUCCACAGACUCCUCGACAACAUCUACCCAAAUCAUGACAACAUCGAAUACCACUGACGCUGGGUCCUUCACAACAUAUAACGCAACGGAUACCACUACCACAGAUUCAGGGAGUUCUACAACAGAUGGUACCAUGAAUGAUACAACUCCUACAUCAACCACUGACGCAGAGUUCACCGCAACAAAUAACGCAACGGAUUCCGAUACCACCGCUACCACAGAUUCAGGGAGUUCUACAACAGGUGUUACCAUGAAUGUCACAACCCCUACUUCCAUCAUGACCACAAUAAACAGUAAUGCUACAUAACCCGACAAUACAACAUCCCCCACCAUGGCCACAGUGGACAUGAAUACUACCACGAUGUUGCCAUCAACAACUGAAUCUGAUACCGGUUCGCCAACUUCUUCGAGUGGAUUGGGCUCAACAAAGAUGAAUUCAACAAAAUCGAUGGUUACUGCCGAUAAUUCAACGACUACUGACCCGGUGUCCGCAACGAUGUCGAAUACUACAGAGAAUGUGACGUCAUCGACCAUGGUCUUUACAACAGACAAUAUCUCAUCAUCGACGACAUUGCCAACAACCAUGUUCAAUGUCUCGGACAAUGCAACGAUAUCUACGACUUCGACGAUGACAGUGUCCGAUACGACAAGUGACGCUGAAAACACUUCGAUGAUGAUAUCGACAGAAGGGCAGAUGAUAACAAAUGACUCAGAUAUCAUUUCGUCACCACCAACAGUGUCAACGACUGAGCCUAAUAUAAGUUCAACGGAAUCGCCAGGAGGUAACUUCGUAAUGAAACGUUGUUUAUUUCAAUUUUUUCUUCUUCUUUUAUCAUCAUGAUUAUAUAAAGCUCGUACAAGAUCGAUAUAGUCGAUGCAACCCUUCAACAUCCCUAUGACAUCUCAAAUUAGCCCUCCCAAAAAAUGAUUUUGAAUGACAAAUAUUCGCCGUUUUCUCCUGUGAAGGUGUUUAGGAAAUACAUUUUAAUCAAAUAAAAAAAAUGACAGGUAAAACAUUCCACUGGAUAUGUUGAAAAGGGAAAUGCACCUUAGAGCAGGGUGCGACAUAAGCGCUUGCCCGAUUGCCCGGGGCAAGUAAAAGUUAGAGUCGGGCAAGUGUUUUGAAGCAAAGACAAAAACUGCUUGCCCGAAUCGGGCAAGCAAAAUUCUCCUAUGGAAAUUAUAUUUUAGAAAGAUUCCCCAUAUUUCACCAUCAAAAUAUAGAAAAGAAAAAGAGACAAAAAAAGCAAUAUCAUUAAUUUCUUCUUUCGAAUUGCAAAAUUUGCGCCAUUUUCUGCAAUAAACACACAGCUCAGAGACGUACACACACACAUCCUGGUCGGUAUGCAAGUCAUCCACUCUCUAUUUUUUUAAUAUUUGUAUUUUAUUAUAUGAAAUUUGAAAAUUCUCUACUCAUUGUCAGUCAAGUUGGUCCGUAUUGCCAAAUCUAUAAAAAAAUGAAAUAUUCAAACAAUAAAAAGCAAAAUGAUUAGUGGGGGAGGGUCGUCAUCGAGUGUCUCAUUUACAUUUUACUGAAUUGUGCAAAUAACUGUUUUGUGAAAAAUAAGCGAAACUUUAAAAUGUCAUAACUUUUUUUUACAUUCGAUUUUGAUAAAAUUUUCAAUGUUAUACUAGCUUGAUUUUUUUCUAUUUAUUCAACUUUUUUUUCUGGGGUGGACUUGACCUUUAAUAUCAUAAAAAUUGGUUAGGACUUUUUUGGGGGGUGGCUCUUUUGUUUCGUCUUAUGUUAUCCCGGGUUUCACCAUUAGAAUAUAGUAUAGGCGUUUUAUUGAGAAAUCCAACAACAAAAUGAUAUUAAUUGAGGAAAUAAUUUACAUUAUGUAAUACAUAUGGUAACACGCAAUCAUCCCUCUAUCCCUCCCCCCCCCCCUCUUUAUCACGCUCUCUCUCUCUCUCUCUCUCUCGUCUCUCUUAUUCUCCCCACCCCAACUGCCCCUCUAUACAUUCUAAUCAACACUCUGUAUGACCACGUCCGUCGACAAAACAAACUGAUUUAAAUAGAUUUAGUGAUAAUAAUGUCAUAUUUUACCCAGGGUAACAAAUUAAUUUCCUGAAUAACAUAAGAAAACUCAAAAUGCUCAUUAAUAUCAAAUAUCAAAAUCGUUCUAGAAUAUUAUGACACUUUUAAAGUUUCCUUCAUCUGCGUAAUCUACAUUACCGCCAAUGAUAUGUAGAUCACUGUUGUGUGAAUACAUUUGU